CCUACGGGGGGCAGCAGUGAGGAAUAUUGGUCAAUGGUCGGGAGACUGAACCAGCCAAGCCGCGUGAGGGAGGAAGGUACAGAGUAUCGUAAACCUCUUUUGUCAGGGAACAAAGGCGGGGACGUGUCCCCGGAUGAGUGUACCUGAAGAAAAAGCAUCGGCUAACUCCGUGCCAGCAGCCGCGGUAAUACGGAGGAUGCGAGCGUUAUCCGGAUUUAUUGGGUUAAACGGGUGCGCAGGCGGUCUGUUAAGUCAGCGGUAAAAGCCCGGGGCUCAACCCCGGCCCGCCGUUGAAACUGGCAGUCUCGAGUUGGAGAGAAGUAUGCGGAAUGCGCGGUGUAGCGGUGAAAUGCAUAGAUAUCGCGCAGAACUCCGAUUGCGAAGGCAGCAUGCCGGCUCCACACUGACGCUGAGGCACGAAAGCGUGGGUAUCGAACAGGAUUAGAUACCCUUGUAGUC
rnacentral:rRNA from 1 species